ACGGCGAGUGAAGCGGCAACAGCUCAAAUUUGAAAUCUGGCGCAAGCCCGAGUUGUAAUUUGUAGAGGAUGCUUCUGGGCAGCGGCCGGUCUAAGUUCCUUGGAACAGGACGUCAUAGAGGGUGAGAAUCCCGUAUGCGACCGGUUGGCACCCGUCACGUAGCUCCUUCGACGAGUCGAGUUGUUUGGGAAUGCAGCUCUAAAUGGGAGGUAAAUGCCUUCUAAAGCUAAAUACCGGCUGGAGACCGAUAGCGCACAAGUAGAGUGAUCGAAAGAUGAAAAGCACUUUGGAAAGAGAGUUAAAAAGCACGUGAAAUUGUUGAAAGGGAAGCGCAUGCAACCAGACUUGUCGGCGGUGUUCCGCCGGUCUUCUGACCGGUCUACUCGCCGUCGACAGGCCAGCAUCAUCUGGGCGCGCCGGACAAAGGCGUCGGGAAUGUGGCUCCCUCGGGAGUGUUAUAGCCCGGCGUGUAAUACGGCGCCGCCCGGGUGAGGUCCGCGCUUCGGCUAGGAUGCUGGCGUAAUGGUUGUCUGCGACCCGUCUUGAAACACGGACCAAGGAGUCUAACAUCUGUGCGAGUGUUCGGGUGUCAAACCCCUACGCGUAAUGAAAGUGAACGGAGGUGGGAACCGCAAGGUGCACCAUCGACCGAUCCUGAUGUCCUCGGAUGGAUUUGAGUAAGAGCAUAGCUGUUGGGACC
rnacentral:rRNA from 1 species